GCCUAGGUGGCUCAGUCGGUUAAGCAUCUGACUUCAGCUCAGGCCACAGUGAGUUUGAGCCCCACGCUGGGCU
rnacentral:tRNA from 1 species